AGAAGCUGUCCCAAAGGCCCUUAACUUAAUUAGCAGCAUGUGAAACAGCAGUUUUCCAGAAAUUAUCAGCAGUGGUCUCUUGUAAUCAUUGAUACAAAGAGUUGAGAUGGUUUCAAAGAGUAAGCUUGUAACCGCAUAAUGAAAUGAUUCUCCUUUUUCAUGAUGAAAUUUACUUUAUCCAGUUCCCUCUUUAUCCCUGGUUUAUCUGGAUAACCGGUUGCAGGAGAAGAUUUACUUUAUAUAGGUCUGGUUGGGUUGCCUUUUAUAACUCAAUAGGAGAGGAAGGGAACGGACGGCGCCUUCUCCGGCUGACGGACGGCGGAAUCCUGCGGAAUUAAUUUCCCACCUGCUGCACCGGGAAAAAGUCAGCAGUUUCUUCUGUAAGGGCUAGGGGACUAUGGAACCUCUUUCUCUGGAGACAACACCAAAACCCAGUGAUGUUGAAAUCUUUUUUUGUUCUCCCAUUCGAUAGAAGGAUUCGAAACAGAAUUCGAUCUUCAAGAUUCUUAGUUCUAGGUUUCGAUCUGCAUGUAGUUAGAUUGAGAGAGGAAAAACAUGUGUGGGAUUUUCGCGUACAUCAACUACAAUGUACCAAGGGGCAGAAGGUACAUUCUUGAGACCCUUUUCAAUGGACUCCGACGACAACAUAGGGUUGUUAUUCGUCCAGCAUAUCCAUCGAUGGCCAUCCCGUCGACCCCAACUCUGAGAGCGGCUCCAUAUUCCCUGCAAAUUAUCAGGUUCCUCUAGUUUUCCGGCAAGAAGGUACCCCCAAUCGUCUGGUGGAAGCCGUAUACAGAGGAAGGAUCUUGAUAGACUGUCUUCUCCACACCUUUCUCUGUUGAAUUGAGGGUCUUCUGCUACCGCUGACGGAAUUUGAUCAUCUUGUUCUGUCAAUUUCGUUCGCACAGAGAUGGACUCUACAGGUUUGGACUUGCAGCAGGUACUACCCGGGCACGUCGAAAUUGCUCACAUACGUUGGGCAACUCACCGUUCGAUAUUGGCGAUAAAUAGCCAUCCACAGUCAUCUGGCGAAGGGCAUGAAUUCCUGGUCAUUCACAAUGGAGUCCACAAUGGAGUCCCCACCAAUUAUCAGGACCUGAAGGAGGCCUACUUCGACGUGGGUUCAAGUUGGAAUCCGACACAGAUACGGAAGUCAUUCCAAAGUUAGCUAAGUUGGCUCGUGAUACGCUGUUGGAGCAUAAGGAUGGAGAUGGCCCAGGUGUUGCGUUUCCCUUAAAAAUACUCUGCUGAGAAUCCAUACUACAUUCGUACUGCUUUUGAAAAGUUGCUGUUCAGCAUAAUACUUCUUAAUUGUUUAAUUUGCUUGGAAUGUUUAAUUGUUUAUUGCGUCAGCUUGCUGGCCAGUCACAUUGAAUUUAUGGACGAACAGUCGAAGGUUUGUUGUUUUCUUUGUAAUAUUUUUCUUUGCAUCUGCUAUCAUUGCUUUCUUCAGCCCAACGAUAGCUUUAUUCAAUUCGACAGUAUUAAGACCUGCUUAUACCCCUCUCUAAAUAAUCUCAUUUCUGCCUGAUUAAACUUGACUAAGCCAACAUUGAUCAAUGCAAAACCCCUUGCUUUUAACAUGAAAGAUCUGUUCUUCCUUUAGAGAAGCUAUUCCCGAUGGAGAACUGAACGGCCUUUAGCAGAAAAGAGGACAUCCCGCCCCCAAGUUGGGUAGCCUUCAAAAAUGUCUCUCAAGAAGAAUGGCGUUGUACAUGAGAUGGUGCUUGUGAAGCUGGCAAAGUAGCUGAUCUCCUGAGCUUCAGAUGUUCAACCUUGGCUUCGUCAGAUAUCAAACUUAAGUAGGGCCAGGCACCUAUAUUUCUUGUUCACCUUGAUAUAUCCUUACGAGAUCAGAAGAUAAUCAUACAACAUUCAAACUGAAGUGCCUCGACAGAUUUGGC